UGCAGAAACGGCAAAGAGUUUGAUCAUGGCUCAGGAUGAACGCUAGCUACAGGCUUAACACAUGCAAGUCGAGGGGCAUCAGGAAGAAAGCUUGCUUUCUUUGCUGGCGACCGGCGCACGGGUGAGUAACACGUAUCCAACCUGCCCUUUACUCGGGGAUAGCCUUUCGAAAGAAAGAUUAAUACCCGAUAGUAUAAUGAUUCCGCAUGGUUUCAUUAUUAAAGGAUUCCGGUAAAGGAUGGGGAUGCGUUCCAUUAGGUUGUUGGUGAGGUAACGGCCCACCAAGCCUUCGAUGGAUAGGGGUUCUGAGAGGAAGGUCCCCCACAUUGGAACUGAGACACGGUCCAAACUCCUACGGGAGGCAGCAGUGAGGAAUAUUGGUCAAUGGGCGUUAGCCUGAACCAGCCAAGUAGCGUGAAGGAUGAAGGCUCUAUGAGUCGUAAACUUCUUUUAUAUAAGAAUAAAGUGCAGUAUGUAUACUGUUUUGUAUGUAUUAUAUGAAUAAGGAUCGGCUAACUCCGUGCCAGCAGCCGCGGUAAUACGGAGGAUCCGAGCGUUAUCCGGAUUUAUUGGGUUUAAAGGGAGCGUAUGUGGACUGGUAAGUCAGUUGUGAAAGUUUGCGGCUCAACCGUAAAAUUGCAGUUGAUACUGUCAGUCUUGAGUACAGUAGAGGUGGGCG
rnacentral:rRNA from 1 species